rnacentral:rRNA from 1 species
UACGGGGGGGGCAAGCGUUGUUCGGAAUUACUGGGCGUAAAGGGCUCGUAGGUGGCCAACUAAGUCGGACGUGAAAUCCCUCGGCUUAACCGGGGAACUGCGUCCGAUACUGGUUGGCUUGAGUUUGGGAGAGGGAUGCGGAAUUCCAGGUGUAGCGGUGAAAUGCGCAGAUAUCAGGAGGAACACCGAUGGCGAGGGCAGGUCUCUGGGCAUUAACUGACGCUGAGGAGCGAAAGCAUGGGGAGCGAACAGG